rnacentral:lncRNA from 1 species
GUGGAUUUCAUUUCUGCCUUUUAGUUUUUACUUCUUUCUUUGGAGGCAGAAAUUGGGCAUAAAACAAUAUGAGGGAUGGUCUCCUCCCUUACUGUCUUUCAGGAGAUCCAAGAACUCUCUUGGGGUCUGGAUUGGGACCUCUUUCAGUAACAGUAUUCUAGGAUUGAUUCUGGAACUUAAAAAGGAUGUUAGGGGAAAAGCUGAUCCAUGGUUUAGUGUCAGGCCUCUGAGCCCAAGCCAUCAUAUCCCCUGUGACCUGCAUGUAUGCAUCCAGGUGGCCUGAAGUAACUGAAGAAUCACAAAAGAAGUGAAAAUGGCCUGUUCCUGCCUUAACUGAUGACAUUACCUUGUGAAAUUCCUUCUCCUAGCUCAUCCUGGCUCAAAAGCUCCCCCACUGAGCACCUUGUGACCCCCGCCCCUGCCUACCAGAGAACAACCUCCUUUGACUGUAAUUUCCCACUACCUACCCAAAUCCUAUAAAACGGCCCCACCCCUAUCUCCCUUUGCUGACUCUCCUUUCGGACUCAGCCCACCUGCACCCAGGUGAAAUAAGCAGCCUUGUUGCUCACACAAAACCUGUUUGGUGGUCUCUUCACAGCAACGCGAAUGAAAUUUGGUGCCAUCACUCGGAUCAGGGGACCUCCCUUGGGAGAUCAAUCCCCUGUCCUCCUGCUCUUUGCUCCAUGAGAAAGAUCCACCUACGAUCUCUGCUCCUCAGACCAACCAGCCCAAGGAACAUCUCACCAAUUUUAAAUCGGAUCUUCUCAGCUUAGCGGCUGAAGACUGAUGCUGCCAGAUGACUUUGGAAGCCCCCUGGACCAUCACAGAUGCCCAGCUUUGGAUAACUCUUACAGUGGAGGAAGACAGGAAUAUCAGGUCUCUGAGCCCAAGCUAAGCCAUCAUAUCCCCUGUGACCUGCAUGUAUGCAUCCAGAUGGCCUGAAGUAACUGAAGAAUCACAAAAGAAGUGAAAAUGGCGCGUGCCUGCCUUAACUGAUGACAUUACCUUGUGAAAUUCCUUCUCCUGGCUCAUCCUGGCUCAAAAGCUCCCCCACUGAGCACCUUGUGACCCCCACUCCUGCCUAACAGAGAACAAUCCCCUUUGACUGUAAUUUCCCACUACCUACCCAAAUCCUAUAAAACGGCCCCACCCCUAUCUCCAUUCACUGACUCUUUUUGGACUCAGCCCACCUGCACCCAGGUGAAAUAAACAGCCUUGUUGCUCACACAGAACCUGUUUGGUGGUCUCUUCACACGGCGAGUGAAAUUUAG